GCCGUGGUGGUUCAGUGGUAGAAUUCUCACCUUCUAUGUGGGAGACCCAGGUUCAACUCCUGGCCAAUGCA
rnacentral:tRNA from 1 species